rnacentral:rRNA from 1 species
AGAGUUUGAUCCUGGCUCAGGAUGAACGCUGGCUACAGGCUUAACACAUGCAAGUCGAGGGGCAGCAUGCCGGUUGCUUGCAACCGGUGAUGGCGACCGGCGCACGGGUGAGUAACGCGUAUCCAACCUUCCCGCGACCAAGGGAUAACCUGCCGAAAGGCAGACUAAUACCUUAUGUCCUCCUUUGAAGGCAUCUGACGAGGAGCAAAGAUCCGUCGGUCACGGAUGGGGAUGCGUCCGAUUAGCUUGUUGGCGGGGCAACGGCCCACCAAGGCUUCGAUCGGUAGGGGUUCUGAGAGGAAGGCCCCCCACACUGGAACUGAGACACGGUCCAGACUCCUACGGGAGGCAGCAGUGAGGAAUAUUGGUCAAUGGGCGGAAGCCUGAACCAGCCAAGUAGCGUGCAGGACGACGGCCCUACGGGUUGUAAACUGCUUUUAUGCGGGGAUAAAGUUGCCCACGCGUGGGUUUUUGCAGGUACCGCAUGAAUAAGGACCGGCUAAUUCCGUGCCAGCAGCCGCGGUAAUACGGAAGGUCCGGGCGUUAUCCGGAUUUAUUGGGUUUAAAGGGAGCGCAGGCCGCCGUGCAAGCGUGCCGUGAAAAGCAGCGGCCCAACCGCUGCCCUGCGGCGCGAACUGCGUGGCUUGAGUGCGCCGGAAGCGGGCGGAAUUCGUGGUGUAGCGGUGAAAUGCUUAGAUAUCACGAAGAACUCCGAUUGCGAAGGCAGCCCGCUGUGGCGCCACUGACGCUGAGGCUCGAAGGUGCGGGUAUCGAACAGGAUUAGAUACCCUGGUAGUCCGCACGGUAAACGAUGGAUACCCGCUGUCCGGCCCGUACGGUCUGGGCGGCCAAGCGAAAGCGUUAAGUAUCCCACCUGGGGAGUACGCCGGCAACGGUGAAACUCAAAGGA